rnacentral:rRNA from 1 species
UACGUUCCCGGGUCUUGUACACACCGCCCGUCACACCAUGGGAGCGGGUUCCGCCAGAAGUAGGUAGCCUAACCGCAAGGGGGGCGCUUACCACGGCGGGGUUCGUGACUGGGGUG